GCCAUGCGAGUCAUUGUAGCAAUACAAGGCAGACGGCUCAGUAACGCGUAGUCAAUCUACCCUGUUGACGGGGAUAACCUCGGGAAACUGAGAAUAAUACCCGAUAGAACAUUAUGCCUGGAAUGGUUUAUGUUUCAAAUGAUUUAUCGCAAUAGGAUGGGACUGCGGCCUAUCAGUUUGUUGGUGAGGUAAUGGCCCACCAAGACUAUUACAGGUACGGGCUCUGAGAGGAGUGGCCCGGAGAUGGGUACUGAGACACGGACCCAGGCCCUAUGGGGCGCAGCAGGCGAGAAAACUUUGCAAUGUGCGAAAGCACGACAAGGUUAAUCCGAGUGGUUUCUGCUAAAGAAACCUUUUGUCAGUCCUAGAAACACUGAUGAAUAAGGGGUGGGCAAGUUCUGGUGUCAGCCGCCGCGGUAAAACCAGCACCUCAAGUGGUCAGGAUGAUUAUUGGGCCUAAAGCAUCCGUAGCUUGUUUUGUAAGUUUUCGGUUAAAUCCAUACGCUUAACGUAUGGGCUGCCGGGAAUACUGCAUAACUAGGAAGUGGGAGAGGUAGACGGUACUCGGUAGGAAGGGGUAAAAUCCUUUGAUCUAUUGAUGACCACCUGUGGCGAAGGCGGUCUACCAGAACACGUUCGACGGUGAGGGAUGAAAGCUGGGGGAGCAAACCGGAUUAGAUACCCGGGUAGUCCCAGCUGUAAACUAUGCAAACUCAGUGAUGCAUUGGCUUGUGGCCAAUGCAGUGCUGCAGGGAAGCCGUUAAGUUUGCCGCCUGGGAAGUACGUACGCAAGUAUGAAACUUAAAGGAAUUGGCGGGGGAGCACCACAAGGGGUGAAGCCUGCGGUUCAAUUGGAGUCA
rnacentral:rRNA from 1 species